rnacentral:rRNA from 1 species
GUCCAGACUCCUACGGGAGGCAGCAGUGGGGAAUAUUGCGCAAUGGGGGAAACCCUGACGCAGCAACGCCGCGUGCGGGAUGAAGGCUUUCGGGUUGUAAACCGCUUUCAGCAGGGAAGAUAAUGACGGUACCUGCAGAAGAAGCCCCGGCUAACUACGUGCCAGCAGCCGCGGUAAUACGUAGGGGGCAAGCGUUAUCCGGAUUCACUGGGUGUAAAGGGAGCGUAGACGGCGACGCAAGUCUGGAGUGAAAGCCCGGGGCCCAACCCCGGGACUGCUCUGGAAACUGCGGCGCUGGAGUACGGGAGGGGCAGGCGGAAUUCCUGGUGUAGCGGUGAAAUGCGUAGAUAUCAGGAGGAACACCGGCGGCGAAGGCGGCCUGCUGGACCGUGACUGACGUUGAGGCUCGAGAGCGUGGGGAGCAAACAGGAUUAGAUCCCCUCGUA